rnacentral:antisense_RNA from 1 species
CUUUUUGGCGGCUCGGAUGGGAGGGCUCGCGCCCUGCCGGUUCUCGCAAGAGCUUCCCGGUCUGCUAACCCGUUCGAGCCGCCGCCCCC